UCUUUGUUGGUGUUCCUGUGGAGACAAUCGCAGAGGGUGUUCCAAUGGAGACAUUAUUGGCAGCACCGGCCGGGGAUACGGAUGUUUAUGGAUUUUAAUGAAAUAUGGGAUAUCGAAGAUGUAACUACGUUGAUAGGUUUUGAUUCUUGAGACAAAAUUCUUUC